rnacentral:rRNA from 1 species
AACGAACGCUGGCGGCAUGCCUAACACAUGCAAGUCGAACGAAGCCUUCGGGCUUAGUGGCGCACGGGUGCGUAACACGUGGGAAUCUGCCCUUCGGUUCGGAAUAACAGUUAGAAAUGACUGCUAAUACCGGAUGAUGACGAAAGUCCAAAGAUUUAUCGCCGAAGGAUGAGCCCGCGUAGGAUUAGGUAGUUGGUAGGGUAAUGGCCUACCAAGCCGACGAUCCUUAGCUGGUCUGAGAGGAUGAUCAGCCACACUGGGACUGAGACACGGCCCAGACUCCUACGGGAGGCAGCAGUGGGGAAUAUUGGACAAUGGGCGAAAGCCUGAUCCAGCAAUGCCGCGUGAGUGAUGAAGGCCUUAGGGUUGUGAAGCUCUUUUACCAGGGAUGAUAAUGACAGUACCUGGAGAAUAAGCUCCGGCUAACUCCGUGCCAGCAGCCGCGGUAAU